CAUCAUAUGACCUUCAUGUAUGGUGUGUGCAACUGUAAUGAUGUAACCUGCAUAAGAGUGCA
rnacentral:sRNA from 1 species